GAUGCCGUGUCCGAGUGGUUAAGGAGUAUGACUUGAAAUCAUAUGGGUUCGCCCGCGCACGUUCGAACCGUGCCGGCAUCG
rnacentral:tRNA from 1 species